rnacentral:rRNA from 1 species
AGCGAACGCUGGCGGCAGGCCUAAUACAUGCAAGUCGAGCGCACCUUCGGGUGAGCGGCGGACGGGUGAGUAACGCGUGGGAACGUGCCCUUUGGUACGGGAUAACCGAGGGAAACUUCAGCUAAUACCGUAUGUGCCCUAUGGGGGAAAGAUUUAUCGCCAUUGGAGCGGCCCGCGUUGGAUUAGGUAGUUGGUGAGGUAAAGGCUCACCAAGCCUACGAUCCAUAGCUGGUCUGAGAGGAUGAUCAGCCACACUGGGACUGAGACACGGCCCAGACCGCUACGGGAGGCAACAGUAGGGAAUCUUGCGCAAUGGGCGAAAGCCUGACGCAGCCAUGCCGCGUGUAUGAUGAAGGUCUUAGGAUUGUAAAAUACUUUCACCGGGGAAGAUAAUGACGGUACCUGGAGAAGAAGCCCCGGCUAACUUCGUGCCAGCCGCCGCCGUAACAC